rnacentral:misc_RNA from 1 species
GAAUCCUUCAGCUUCUUCCUCAACCCGUUAACCACAGAAGUCCUGGUCCGAUCGGACGAAGACCCUGGUCCACACCCAGGCAGACUUCGACUAGCGGCGUUGGAACUGUCCAGCGCCUCAAGCCGGACCUUGAUGAGCUUAGCUUUCUUCAACGCUUGAGCAACAUCAGCAUCCAUCCGCGACCGCAAGUCCUUGACGGCCUUGGCGUUGUGUAGAGUCUUGCUCUGCUCGUGAGCAGAUUGGAGACUAUCAUUCAGCUUUUCCAAUGCCUUCAGCUCGUCUUUAACAGACUCAACAUCCUCAAAGAACUUAUCAAGGUUGACGCCAUCGGUGGACGGCGUCUCCGACAUCUGGAUUACAUGGUGAUCAGGGGAGGCUUCCCCACUGCGGAAUUGAGAGAAAGACCCUGAAAACAAGUCAUUCAUCUUUCCUUACCCUCGUUUUCUUGUCUGACGGAUUCCUCUGUUUUCUUUUUUUUCGUUUUUUUUCUGAUAAGAGUUCAAGAAACAGGAGGAGAUUAUAAGGGGUAGAGAUUGGAUGGGAUUUUCAUGGAUGGCUGGCUACUAAGGAUGAUGAAGGUGGGAUUGGUCAAAUGCCAGCUUCAACAAUUCUAGUAUUCUUAAAGAUUGUUUGAUAAGUCAAUUGAGUGACGAGUAGGAGAUGGAAAUUUCAUGGGUACCGGAAAAUCAAGAAGGAAACAUAUGGGAAAGUGGAAGUGGAGAAUGUUUGAACCAAGUAAAAGGGUUUAAAUGGAAUGUUGUUGUUUUGAUUUGGUAGAAAACCCGCGAGGGUUUUUGGACUUGUAUU